UAGCUGUCUCCCUUUUCCUUUUUAGAAUUUACUUAAGGGGUGCAAAUUCCUCUAAAAUUUUAAAAUAAGACGAGAAGACCCUUAGAGUUAUUAAUAAACUGGGUUAACCACUAUUUUUUGUUGGGGCAACAAGGUAAUCAAAAUUAAAAUACCGAUACUUAUUCAUAGUCUAAACGGAUAUUUGUCAAACAUGAACUUAACUACCUAAGGGAUAACAGCAUAAUUUACUUUAAGUUUGUGACCUCGAUGUUGGACUAG
rnacentral:rRNA from 1 species